CAUGUAGGCGGCUUAAUAAGUCGAGCGUGAAAAUGCGGGGCUCAACCCCGUAUGGCGCUGGAAACUGUUAGGCUUGAGUGCAGGAGAGGAAAGGGGAAUUCCCAGUGUAGCGGUGAAAUGCGUAGAUAUUGGGAGGAACACCAGUGGCGAAGGCGCCUUUCUGGACUGUGUCUGACGCUGAGAUGCGAAAGCCAGGGUAGCAACG
rnacentral:rRNA from 1 species